ACCUGUGCUCUUGCCAUCUCAGAGAUCUGCUGAAAACAAUAUAACCAACAGUUUGUAUCCAAGAUGAGCCCUGCUGUCUUUCCUUCUGCCUUGCAGAGGAAUCCAGAUCGACUGGAGCACUGGGCGAUCAUCAGCGGGACGAAAUUCAACAAGGGUAAAUGCCGGGUGCUGCGCCUAGCUCAGAGCAAUGCGGGGGACAGGCACAGCCUGGGAGCUGAGCGGCUGGAGAGCAGCCCUGCAGAAAGGAUCUGGGGGUGCUGGCUGACAGCAGGCUUAACGUGAGCCAGCAGGGUGUCCUGGCAGCCAAGAGGGCAAACUGCAUUUUGGGGUGCAAAUGCAGCAUGGCCAGCUGGCCCAAAGGGGUGAUUUUCCAGCUGUAUUUAGUGCUGGUGCAGCCUCACCUUGAAUACUGCAUGCAGGUCUGAGCUCCGCAAUCCGAAAAGGCUGUUAUGCUCCUUGAAAGCGACCAGAGGAGGGCAACAAAGCCGGUAAAAGGGCUGGAAGUCACGUCCUGUGAGGAAGGCUGAGAACUCUUGGGUUAGCAGGUCUGCAGAAAAUAAGGCCAAGAGGUGACCGCAUUGCUCUGCAGCUUCCUGAGGAGGGGAAGUGGAGACAGAGGCACUGAUACCUCCUCUCUUGGAAUGGGUUACAGGACACAUGGGAACAGCACAAAGCUGCACCAGGGGAGCUUCAGACCAGAUAUGAAGAAGAAUUUAUUUACUGUGAGGGUGGUCAAACACUGCAAUGGGCUUCCUUGUGAGGAAGCUGAUGCCCAACGCCUGUCAGUGUUCCAGAAGCACUUAAAUAACGCCCUCAGCAAAAUCCUUGAAUUUUUGGGUAGCCCUGAAGUAGUCAGGCAGUUGGACUCAAUGAUCUUCGUAGGUCCCAUCCAAGCGAUCUAAUUCCAAUCUCUCUUAGGGCCCUUUUGUAUUUAGGAAGCAGGAGCAUAAACCUUUUCUAAUGCUAUGCUAGGAGGGCUCCCAUAUAACUACAAAAUAAUUCCAAGUCUCCUCAGGGGUCCUUUUGGUUUCGUUAGCACGCGGAUACACUUCUAACAGAGACUGCUGCUGUCUUGCAACCACAGGAAAUGAUCUGCAGCCAACCCACAAACUCAUCACGAAGAACACCCAAGUUAUACCGAACGUGCUGUCAGUGGCUCUUCAGCAUGAAGUGCUGCAGGACAGCAGUCCCGAAGAACUGCUGAAACCUGGUGGGGCACUGACCAGCUCCACACGUUUGGAACCCACUGCAUAAGGCCAUAAAAACCACCGAGCACUUCUGUUUACAAAGAUUCGGUUUCUUCUAUGAUAGCUACAAAUAACUCCUUUGUCUCUAAACACCCAGAGGACAGCUCCGAAUGGGUAGAGAUCUCCCUCCUUUCUCCUCCAAAUCCUAUCUUUCCUGCUCCGACCCUCUGGCCCAAGGGAUCACGAGUAGCUGCAAGAGGAAAGGCAGCCAGGCAGAAGAGUACAGGGAGAGUAAGGGCAGAUCUGCAGAGGAAUGGCCUUCUUUUUGCACUGUUCUCAGGUUUUGUAUUUCAGACAAUGACACUGGGCCAAGUUAAUUUCCUGCAAUUGACUUGGGCCCAGAAUUGUUUCUUUUCUAGGCUGGGAAGAAAACCCUGCGAUUUUCAUUAACUUUCAAAUCUCCUCCGCUAGUUCUGGUCUCAUAAAUUCUAAUUCACGACACAAAUUGACAUUUCAAACCUUUCACCGACUAGCAGUAAGAGUAAUAUAAGAAUCCUUAUAGACCUCAUGUUGUCGGCGCUAACCUACUUUGUCUGUGCAUUUCGUAAAGGAAUUUUGCUGUUGCUAUAAAAUGCAGGAAGCAUGGAGUAUAUUACUCAGCUUCAGGGACCAGUGCAUUUGAUUAAAUUCCACUGAUCUACAAAUAUUUUAAGAACCACACAUUCCACCCUACAGCUAAAAUGAUUUAGGAGUUAAUCAAAUUAACAUUUAGACUCUUAAUAUCUCUAACUAGUUUGCUGGAGCCCCAAACAAUUAAGUAUACAAAAAAAGCGUCUCUGCACAUAAAAUGCAUCUCUGUAAAAAUGUAGAAACUUAACAACAAACCAGGAAUACAGGUGCCGGAAUCCCAUGGGCCAAGUAAGAUCCUGCAAAGCUCUGCAGUUCAUCACACACACAUGGAAGCACCUCUUCUAAAGCCCUCCUGUAGGUAUGAGUUAUUCCCCCAGAACAUUUACUUGCAAAAUUGUACGUGUGCUGAAAAUCUGAGUGCUUAAACCUCUUCUGGGUCCAGAUCUGAAUCUCUGUCUCAUCUCCGACUCCACAAAAAUAGCGUUGGCUUUUCUGCAAGCUUUUAAAAACUUUGUUCACAUCAAGAACAAGACCUGGAAUCUUGUCCAGUUUUGACUGUCAGACCUCAAGGAUCUAACAUGUUACAACCCACAUAAACAAGAGGUGAAAAUACCACUUAUGCUCUUUAUUUUUGCAAGCACAAGGAUGGGAGCUCUUUUUGCUUAUUUUCUAUAUCAAUUGCAUUUUCAGCUCAAAGGGGAUUCAUUUCAAAUAACUUGAGCCAUGUAAAUGAUCUGGGCUUUGCUUAGUCACUAAAGGGAGCAGCCCAUGGGAGGGUAAUGCACCUCCAAAGUCUUGAAUAGGAAGAAUGGCUUCUGGAGGCGGUGCUCUCUCUUCACCCAACAGUUACGAACACUAAUAGUUUAGGCAAGAUCAUUUUAAUACUCUGAGUUGGAUGCUUACUCUCACCUAGUAACCUCUGUCUGUGGAUAAAAAAGAAAGCCACAGGACAAGCUGGCGUCAGAUCUACAGAUGAGCUUAAACUCAGCUAGGUGGAAGUUCACACGACUUAGAAUUACUCAGAAUUACAUUUACUUGAGCUGUACUUCAGUAACGCUAAGGUGUAAACUCAAGAGAUCAAACAAGUCUGCUACGCUCUAGAAUACCAGAAGCAAGAAUGUGUUGCAUUUUCGUGUUUUUUUUUGUUUGUUUAAAUAAGAAAUCCACAUGCUUUUGUGUGCGAUGCCUGCAAAAAGUUUUCAUUUAUAAUUUCGACAGACAAGAAGUUCACAAAUUAUCAUGAACAAGGUCUGAAUGAACACAGCAGAGUCUUAUGUGCAGAGCAUAAAAUGCAUAGUUAGACAAGACUGAUGGCAGGGUUUGUUCUUUGUCAGAAAGAUUAAUCCCAUCCUGGACAACUGACAGAAUUUGAGACGUUCAAUACAGACAGCUCAAUAACUACAUCAACAAUUCAUUCUUUUCAAACCCAGGCCCACUUUCAGAGAAAGAGACCUAGAUGGAGAGAGAGCCCUUUUUAGAAGGGCAACACAUCCGAAUGGAUUUCCCAUCGCAAAAGACAAUUCACGAGGGGCACAGGGUUUUGUUGUUUUGUUGUUCUUUUUGAAUAAAAACAGCAAAGAAGAAAGUCACCUGAAACUUGUUCAUCAAAAUGCAAUACACAGAACUCAGUAACAAAGCUGCAUAUUCACACCAUGGAUUAAUCCUGUCUGACAGCGUCACAUGCACAGUUAACCGUGAAUAUGAUUAAGGAUCAGUAAUAAUAAUCAUUUAGAUCAUCAGGUCACUUGAUCCAAGCUAAUCCUUCCUGUUAAAAUGGCAAAGAAAAAAAAAAGGAUCUCUCUAGGAAGUUGGUAAUACAGUAAGUGGAGGACCAGAAGACGUUAGACAAGCAUCCAUUGCGAACUUGUAUGUUCUUGGGCUGCAUUACGCCCCAGAGAUCCGCUAUGGGUCAGGAGAUAUUUGACUGCUCACAAGGGGCCAAUGAAGUCCCAAGGACUGAACCACACAGAAGGGGAAAGAAAGAAAUGUCUUCAGUGCAAUUCCCACGAGAUGUUUAUAUUCAGGCCACCACGUCAGGAAAACUUUCUGAUGGCCAUCAAUUCGAACCCACGUGCAGAAGCCCACAGAGAAAUAUGGGCCAGCAACAGGUUUCUUUCCUUUUCUUUCCUUUUUCAGUCUGCCAGGUUACAUUUGUGGGUGAGGCUUUAGAGAAGUUUUGCACAACACAGCGGUGAUCAGCACCAGAUGUGUGGACAAAUCAGUAAAGAUCGGUUUGCAUGGGGUUUUUUCGUUUGUUUGUUUUUAAAAGGCUUUCAAUAUUGUACCUUCUUAUGACAAAAAAAAGCAAGCAAACAAAAAUAUCUUCCUUUACAUCCAUUAAAAAGGACAAAUUCAUUACAAGUAACAAAAAAUUGUUAAAACACUUGGCUUAGACCAUUUUUCCUCAUUACAAAAUAUUAACUCUUUCAAAUUAAAGAUUUUUGUUUCCUCCUGAACUGACAGGAUCCUCUGAAACAAAGUUAUCUGCUUUCACACCUUGGCGGGACCCAGGCCUUUUCAAGCAAAUAUUGCUUUAUUUUAAGUUUCUAACAGAGCAAAAGCAGAGUCACUGCAGAAAGAAGCAAUGAAACAAAGGAGGACGACGUUGAUGGACUUCCCAAGG